GCCUGGUACGAGUGUGGUUCGAAAAGUGACACGUGGCAAUUCAAGAGUGUAACGAUCACACAUUUGAAUUGCUUUGCGCAUAACUCAAGUUAAUGGCUGAUUAUUACAUAAUCAACGAGAAUUUGUAGGUUAGUUUCUAUUACUUAAUAAAAUAUUUUGCAUACGUACGUAACACAGAAGAGACAAAAAAAAGUAGCGCAUCAUUCCACAAACUUGUAAUCAAAUCUUAAUUAUUUAAAUUUAAGGAAAGUUCAACUUGCAUAAAGACAGCUAACUAGCAAGACUGGUUUUACACUAAUUACGUGUGAAAAACAGAACAAGUACAGUUGUAUGUCUUAUCGAUGGAAGCAAAUCAAGGAUGCUAAUUGCCAAGUCCAACGUUUGAAUUUAUCUUAAGAAGUUACUAUAACUAAACAACUGUUAGUCUUAUAAUGGGGUUAAAUGUAAACUUACUCUUAUAGCGGUAGCUAUACAUACGGUUAUGAAUACAUGGAGUGGAGCUGGUAACGGAAUAAAGUUCAGACAACUGAAUUUCAAUAUUCAAAAGAAAAAUUGAGAGCAAUGAGCGAGGCUAGUACAUGUAGGCUUCCCUUUAGAUUACCCUUUAUUUGAUACAAUAGAGUGGUUUUCUAUUUACACAAUCACACACAUAUAUUUAUGGAGUAGUACUGUUGAUUUACCUAGAAGACAAUAGAGUAAAAAGGAGGUAUUGAUGUUGAUUAGACAAAUCGUUGAAGUGCUUCUGAUCUGUUUCAGCUUUUUUUUCCUUCUUGUUUUCUAAUUAUUUUGUCUUUUCUUCAGGACUUACAGUGGGUAAGCAAUUAGCACCAUCCAACGGGCACAUCCAAGGUAGGACCAUUAAUGGGCUCAGUAAUGGGCUCUAUAAAAGGGGCCUAGUAACAUAAUCAGUAAUAAUGACCAUUUAUAAACACUAACCACAAAAGGUAAUUUCCACAAGAAAAGAGCACAGAAAGGUUAGUACAUUACUGCUUUGGAAAUGAACUGUUCCAUAUCUGCAAAUUGGUUUGUUUUGAUUCUGUCUAGGGUUCGAUUCGAACAUAACUUGUACUCGUGAAGCUACAGAAAAGAGAUGGGAGAAUCUAAGAGCUUUACUGGGUCUUAUAAAGACUUUGUUUAAUUUAUUCAUCGUCUUUAUUCUUCUUCACAGCUUCUAACCUGAAGCUGGUCCUCCUGCUUACUUUAUUCAUCGUCUUUACUCUUCUUCACAGCUUCUAACCUCAAGCUGCUCCUCCUUCUGGUUCGUUGGUUAAGCCCAUGUCCUCGGUUCUGAAGUAGACUACAUGAUCAUCGUCCUCUAAAACAUCCUCUCAGUCGUGAUUGCUCAAUUUCAAGGGAAGAUCGGUGGCUGGAUCAUUUCAAGGUAAAAGGGGACAUGCUGAUGGAAAACAUAGCAAGGCUCGUUUUAAUCAUCCUAAAAGGAGUCAAAAUGGAUGAUAAAGGGAAUGUUUAUGUCGCUGAUACUUUGAACCUAGCCAUAAUUGGAGAUUCAGAUGUCACUACUAUAACUGGAGGGAAAUCAUAUGUAGCUGGGUUGUAGAGAUGGGCUAUGCUCAGUCCUAUGCCACAGAAGAGGGAUCAAGGCGUCGCCAUCAAGGCAGCAGCAUCAGAUACGGUGAAGCCUGUAGAGUACAAUAUAAUAAUGAAGGAUUGUUGAUUUGUUUCAUACUCUAAUUUGCUUUUUGUUGCUGUUAAAGAAUUUUCUCUCUAUGUGUUUCCUUUUAAAUCCACAGCUUUUCUUCCAAAAUAUAAAUCUAUUCACCAGAAGGAAAAGAUGACUUCCUUUGGUAAGAAUAUCUGUGGCUGAUUGUUUCAUGUUACUUGUUGCAGGGUCAGUGAAAGCUGAAAACAAGACCAGCAAAGAGUUUUGAGACCAUGGUCCUUAGUACAGGUAUGACACUUGUAGCUUUUCUAGAAUUGAUCUUGCAUUCUAACAUUAGGAUGUAAAAAUGAGUAUAUUCAAGGGACUAAAGGUAGAAUGAGCAGAAUACAGUUUCGAAAGGGAAAAAGAAUAAAAACAUAAAGGGCCCUACCGGGUUCGAACCGGUGACCUCUUGAUCUGCAGUCAAAUGCUCUACCACUGAGCUAAGGACCCUUUUUGUCGUUAUCCGUAAUAGUUUACAUUUUUAUUACUUAAAAUUUCACCGUAAGAGAUUAGGUGCUCAUGCAAAAACCAUUGUGAUUUCUCCAUGGUUGUCUGGCUUUGAGACAUAGCUAACGCAUGAAUAUGAUUCUUAAUUCACGUUCAGUAUUCCAUUGUUAUCUAAUUAAUGUAGAGAUUGCUUGAAAAUUUUGUAAUUUCAUACGUGUUUUGUUUGUAAUGGAAGUUAUUAAUCUAACGAAUUCGUAGCCUGCCUCUAAUCAUCCGAUUUACUUGCUUGGGUCGCACACCAUCCAUCCCCUUUCUCAACCUCACUAGUCACUACCCCCUCUUUGAUUUCACUCGUCGAAUGCAUAUUUUAUAUUUAUUUGUUCCUUAAUAAGUCGAAUUAUGGAGUCCUACUUAAAUGUAGAAUCAAACACAAUAACAAAUAUGUAGUCUAUUAGCAACGGACCUUUAGUUUAUUCAGAUUCAUUCAAAUGUAGAAUCAAACACAAUAACAAAUAUGUUAUAAUGUUGUUUUCCUAUUUUUAAAUAUUUCUUACUAAAGCAUA